rnacentral:tRNA from 1 species
AGUAAUACAGCUCAGUGGUAGAGCGUGUAUGCUUAACGUGCAUGAGGUCCUGGGUUCAAGCCCCAGUAUCUCCA